GGGCGCGCGGCCUCUUGGAGGCGGAUGACUGCGCUUCCUGCUUCCCACCAGCCGGCGCCCCCUUCUCCUGCAGCUCUCUGACCCGCGCCCCCGAUGGGCUCCCGCCGUCCAGAGGCUGAGGAUAUCCCUGGGAGUAUCAUGUGGCUGUGCUCAGUGGCUGAGAGAUGUCCUCAGGAAGAAUGUGGGUUGCGAGGUCCCAGAUCCAUGCCAAGCACUGCUAGAGAACAUGGCAGGCUCCCAAGAACACCACGGCCCCAAGAUCCUUUUGAACGUGGUACUUGGUAACAUCUGGCGGCGGAUAACAGUUGGCUUGACGGAUAUGUCACCCCUGCCUUAGAAGUUCUCCAGCACCUUCCAUAGAGGUUUCAACCUUAGAUCCAGAGACUGCCUGAGGAAGUCCUAGGCCCAUGAAGUCUGAUCCUGGGGAUGGCCUGGGAUCUGGGUUUGCUGAUACUUCUCACCAUGAAUGUCUUGGUGUGUUCGUGGACAGCAGAGGGGCAGAGAAUGGAGAAUGAGGUCGCCGGUCGCCACAGUAGCAUCACCAGAGCUGCUACCUGCUCAGUGCAUCACGAAACAACUUGCACUCUGCAUGAGAAUCGGGGUUCAGACAUGGGAGAGUUAAGCUGUCUCUGAGUUUUGACAACAGUGCCUCCAUGGCCAGGGAGGGCAAGCUCCGUGUCCCUCUGCUGUGCCGGGAAUGACUUUUUAAUGAACGAGUUUUUCUCUUGGAUUUGUAACUGCUGUUCACUAUCACCCACCCAUUUAAUAAACCUUACACUUGGUCACUCCCAUUGAAAUCAGUGACAGCCCAUGA